rnacentral:rRNA from 1 species
AUACAUGCAAGUCGAGCGGACAGAUGGGAGCUUGCUCCCUGAUGUUAGCGGCGGACGGGUGAGUAACACGUGGGUAACCUGCCUGUAAGACUGGGAUAACUCCGGGAAACCGGGGCUAAUACCGGAUGGUUGUUUGAACCGCAUGGUUCAGACAUAAAAGGUGGCUUCGGCUACCCCUUACAAAUGGACCCGCCGCGCAUUAACUAGUUGGUGAGGUAACGGCUCACCAAGGCUACGAUGCGUAGCCGACCUGAAAGGGUGAUCACUCACGCUGGGACAGGGACAGGGGCC